GUCCGUGAUUAUACAGAUGUGGAAACGCCUUGCUCCAUCCCGAACCAAGAAGCUAAGCACAUCGUGGGUGAUGAUACUACGCCUUACUGGCAGGGGGAAAGUAGCUCGAAAGUAGCUCAUUGCGGACU
rnacentral:rRNA from 1 species